AUGCAGCACUGCUCGGACGUCUGCUGGAACCCCUCGGCAGCCAUCCUCUCAGAAACAUGCUGGAAAACAUUUUCAUUUCUCACCAUGCCAUCGAGUUCCCCUUGCACCCUAUCUUCACUGAUGCUACCCAGAAAGUUCGUUGUUGCAGAUCUCGUCCAGUCUGUAUUUUUGGAUAUUCCUCGCCCACCUUGGAUUCACCUGCACUGGGUUGGAGAAUUACAGCGGCUUGAGCGGGCUGGACUUUAUUCCACUGAAGUUAUUAUCCGAUCGUCUUCCAACUCUUCUCACUGCUUGUUGUAUAUCAAAUAAACCCAUUUAAGCUCUUGCACUUGGAUCUCGAGGCUUGAUCAUUGUGACAAUAGGUCUCCUGUUAUUUUCUAAGCUUCUUAAACACAUCUAAGCAUUAGUCCCAGAAGUUGAAGCCACCAGAAGUUUAACCAUAAUAAUGCAAAGAUUAUAUGGGCAAACAAAUUUGUGAAUAGAUAUAAAAUACCCAACGAUGUUCCUGCAUAUUUACAUAUAUGUAUUAAAUGUUAUUAUAUAUGUAAAUAUUAAAAUUAAACAGUAAACAUUAAAAAUUAAACAUAUAUUGUUUUUAUGUAUGGUCACUACAUAUAAUAAUAAAAAAAUCAUAAUAUACAUAUAAAUACAAUCUUACUAUGUGUAUUUUGUAUGUUACAAACUUGUAUCUUCAUAUAUCCAAAAGGUAUGAUGUAUGUGAUAAAACAAUGGCUAAUGUGGAAAUAUCACUGUAGAUAAAGGACAGACUGUGUCAUAUUACAUUUGUUUAAUU
ensembl:lncRNA